rnacentral:rRNA from 1 species
UACGGAAGGCAGCAGUGGGGAAUAUUGCACAAUGGGCGAAAGCCUGAUGCAGCUAUGCCGCGUGUAUGAAGAAGGCCUUAGGGUUGUAAAGUACUUUCAUCGGGGAGGAAAAACAAAACUAAUAAUUUUAUUUCUUGACGUUACCCGAAAAAGAAGCACCGGCUAACUCCGUGCCAGCAGCCGCGGUAAUACGGAGGGUGCUAGCGUUAAUCAGAAUUACUGGGCGUAAAGAGCACGUAGGUGGUUUUUUUAAGUCAGAUGUGAAAUCCCUGGGCUUAACCUGGAACUGCAUUUUGAAACUGAGAUACUAGAGUAUCGUAGAGGGAGGUAGAAUUCUAGGUGUAGCGGUGAAAUGCGUAGAUAUCUGGAGGAAUACCUGUGGCGAAAGCGGCCUCCUAAACGAAUACUGACACUGAGGUGCGAAAGCGUGGGGAGCAAACAGGGAUUAGAUACC